rnacentral:rRNA from 1 species
ACGGGAGGCAGCAGUGAGGAAUAUUGGACAAUGGAGGCAACUCUGAUCCAGCCAAACCGCGUGAGGGAUGAAGGUCCUACGGAUCGUAAACCUCUUUUAUGUGGGAAUAAUUGCAGAUAUGUAUAUUUGCUUGAAGGUACCACUUGAAUAAGCAUCGGCUAACUCCGUGCCAGCAGCCGCGGUAAUACGGAGGAUGCAGGCGUUAUCCGGAUUUAUUAGGUUUAAAGGGUGCGCAGGCGGGACAUUAAGUCGGUGGUGAAAUACCGUGGCCCAACCACGGGGCUGCCAUCGAUACUGAUGACCUUGAGUGCGUGUGACGUAGGCGGAAUGUGACGUGUAGCGGUGAAAUGCUUAGAUAUGUCACAGAACACCGAUUGCGAAGGCAGCCUACGAAUGCGUAACUGACGCUCAUGCACGAAAGCGCGGGUAGCGAACAGGAUUAGAUACCCUGGUA